rnacentral:lncRNA from 7 species
GGAAAGGCUGACACCAAGUGAGCUGCGUCCUUGCAUCAUCUUGUUUUUGCUUUAAUAGUCGUGACUCCACCUCAGAAUAUUCCUGCAGCUUCAGGUCAGCUCGCAGGGAGCUGUUGGGUCUCUUCUCCAUGAAACAGAGCUGGAAAGGUGUUUCUGUGCUGAAAACUAUGUCUUGGGUUAACUGCAGUUAAAGAGGAAGAAAGUUGCCAGGAGGAAUGACAUCAUGCACAUCUGUAUAUAGCUGCAAGAGGAAGGUGAAGGUCGGGGAGGAAGGCUCACACCUCCGCACUGGUGGGCUGACACCAGGCACCCACCUCCACCAGACGUGGCUGGAAAGCUGUGCCUGCAUGGAAACUCCUGGAUCAGGUUCUUCAAGGAUGGGCAUAGCCACCUGUAGUGGAAAUGCUGAGUCUUGGCUUAAACCAGUGAUUGAGCACCUGGUAGGAAGGCAGGCCACAGCAGGGGAGCUCAUUACAUGCACCUGAGUGACCAGAAGUGGUGAAGCCAGGAUCCACCCCUUCCCAGACCUCAUUUCAGGGUUGGCAGUGGAGGUGAGGGUAUCUCACUAGAGAUCCCUGCCUAUCAGAAGCCUUUUAAAGUUUGAUUAUCCGUCAUGAUAAGACAUUACUUAAAGCAGCGGUGACACUGUCUAAUCAUUCUUGUGAAAUAUAGAGUUCUCUCUCUACUUCAGACAGAGCCGACAUUAAUACACAUUUAUGCAAAGCAGAGCUGGAGCUGUCAGGGGCUAAUCUUUACAAGUAUGAUAAAUGAUGUUUAUUUUCAGUGAUGGAACGAAACACCCGGGCUGACAAUAAUUGUAAUAAAAAGGACAGAUCAACUUCUAUAAAGUGAUUGAAUUACCAGUCUAUUGC